GGAUAUUUGUUACCUGGGUACAGAACGAUUGGUAGUACUGGUUUACUAUGGAUUUUAGGCACAUAUACAGAAUGUAUGUAUGCAUAAUAUAGUAAAGAAAACAGUUAGCAGAAGAUUCAUACUGUAAAUUGUCAGGGAAACAUAAAGACAAGAAAUAAUUCUAAAGCACUGAGUAAAUAAGUAGAUGAGUACAAGAAAUUCUAAAGUACUAAAGAAAUCCUAAAGCAAUGAGGAAAAAAACUAAAUGGAUAGAUGUAAUUUGAGCAUGAUGGAAUAAUAACAUUAAAAUAAUGGGACUCAUCUAAAAGAUAUAAAAGAUUUAAUUUUGGUUAAUUAAACAAAUGAUCAUAGUUUAUUUUAAGCAGUGGCUAGAGUACUAUUUAAAGAAAAGAGAAUAAAAUUUAACAAUAAUACAAACAAAUGUAGACUGUCAACCAUAUGUAUAAUGUCAACCAUAUGAUUAUCGGAUGUAGACUCAAUGUCAACCAUAUGAAAAUCGGAUGUAGACUCAAUGUCAAACAUAUGACAAUCGGAUGUAGACUCAAUGUCAAUGGACCUUAUCUAAAAGAGAGUGAAUUAAAGGAAGGGGGCUUUAAAAGAACAGCUGAAAUAUAGUAUUCUAAACAAGGAAGAGUAAGAGAUUUUUAGAUUAAACAUGAUUGAGAUGUAGAAAAUGUUAACUGAUAAAAAGUUACAAACCCUUAAAACGUUAUUAAUUGAGGUGGAAAAAUUUUACAAAGUUAGCAUGCAAAAAUAGAUUACUAUUAUUUUUUUAAAGAAAAUAGCAAUGUACAUAAUUUUACAAGAAAUUUAUAGAAUAUUAUUAAUAAUUAAUAGAAUAUUUUGUUAUAAUAUAUUGUUAAAAUAUAGAGUUAGUUUAUUUUUUUGAGUCAUUGUAAAAUAUCUUAGUUUAAAACAUCAAUGCUUACCUCCUUUACACAAUGAUAGGUUAUGAUCAAGUUGCAUUUUUUUCUGAAAAAAAAAAACUUUUUUUGGAAAUCGUGUGAAAAUUUUCUCCUUAAUGCAUUGCAAUCAACAUCUAUUUACCCCUUGGAGUAUGAUAUCAAUAGUAUUUUUCACUUAAUUGAAAGAUUUGCUACAAUAUGAUACUACAAGUUCUUACAGUAGUGUAAAUGAAUCCAAAAAAGACUUAUUUUCAAAAAACUAAUGUUUAGGAGAAGCCAUACCGCCUACACAAGAUGCUUCACAAUAGCAUUUCUAGACCUGUUAACCAGGUUUCAUAGUGCUGGUCACAAUCGUUUUAUGAGAAUCCAUAGUGGCCUAAUCCAUUUGAAUGGGUUAGAUUAUGAAAGACAUUAUUUAUGAAAUUGUUCGGUUUACAAUUCUGAAAUAACUUGUGUAGUGGUUGAGUAAUAAACAUCUUCUCAGAGUCGCAUCUAUGGCGUUUACUGGCAUUUUGAUGAAGAUUAGCACUAAUAACUAGUUUAUCCAGUUAGACAAGCAUCUUAUGCUUUACCACGUGACAAAUUAAAUUUGUCACCAAUUGAGUGCACAUAACAAGAAAUAAAUAAUUUAACUUUAAUACCUCAUUUCAAUACAAUUUUUUCAUGAAUAAACCAUUGAGAGCUUGAUAUUUA